GACGAACGCUGGCGGCGUGCUUAACACAUGCAAGUCGAACGGAAAGGCCCUGCUUUUGUUGGGUUCUCGAUUGGCGAACGGGUGAGUAACACGUGUGUAACCUGCCCUUGACUUUGUGAUAACUUCAGGAAACUGGGGCUCAUACCGGAUAUGAUCUCCUGCUGCAUGUUGGGGGUUGGAAAGUUUCGGCGGUUGGGGAUGUUCUCGCUGCUUAUCAGCUUGUUGGUGUGGUAGUGGCUGACCAAGGCUUUGACGGGUAGCCGGCCUGAGAGGGUGACCGGCGACAUGGGGACUGAGAGACGGAGCAGAAGGCUACGGGAGGCAGUAGGGGGGAGUAUUGCACAAUGGGCGGAAGCCUGAGGCAGCAACGUCGCGUGCGGGAUGACGGCCUUCGGGGGGUAAACAGCUUUCGAAUGAGACGAAGAGUGAGUGACGGUAAUGGGUAAAGAAGCAACGGCUAACUACGUG
rnacentral:rRNA from 1 species